UACGUAGGGGGCAAGCGUUGUCCGGAAUCAUUGGCGUAAAGCGCGCGUAGGUGGCCUCAUAAGUCCGCUGUGAAAGUCAAAGGCUCAACCUUUGAAAGCCGGUGGAUACUGUGAGGCUAGAGUACGGAAGAGGCGAGUGGAAUUCCUGGUGUAGCGGUGGAAUGCGCAGAUAUCAGGAGGAACACCAAUAGCGAAGGCAGCUCGCUGGGACGUUACUGACACUGAGGCGCGAAAGCGUGGGGAGCGAACAGG
rnacentral:rRNA from 1 species